GUGGGGGAUAUUGCACAAUGGGGGAAACCCUGAUGCAGCAACGCCGCGUGAAGGAAGAAGGUCUUCGGAUUGUAAACUUUUGUCCUCAGGGAAGAUAAUGACGGUACCUGAGGAGGAAGCUCCGGCUAACUACGUGCCAGCAGCCGCGGUAAUACGUAGGGAGCGAGCGUUGUCCGGAUUUACUGGGUGUAAAGGGUGCGUAGGCGGAUUUUCAAGUCAGUAGUGAAAUGCAGGGGCUUAACCCCUGAGCUGCUAUUGAAACUGAGAGUCUUGAGUGGAGUAGAGGCAGGCGGAAUUCCCGGUGUAGCGGUGAAAUGCGUAGAGAUCGGGAGGAACACCAGUGGCGAAGGCGGCCUGCUGGGCUUUAACUGACGCUGAGGCACGAAAGCAUGGGUAGCAAACAGGAUUAGAUACCCUAGUAGUCC
rnacentral:rRNA from 1 species